rnacentral:misc_RNA from 1 species
UUUCCGUAGGUGAACCUGCGGAAGGAUCAUUAACGAGUUGGGGUCUUCUAGGCCCGACCUCCCAACCCUAUGUUUAUUGAACCUCUGUUGCUUCGGCGGGCCCGUCUCACGGCCGCCGAGGGGAGUCGCCGCGAGGCACCCUCUGGCCAGCGUCCGCCGAUGGCCAACCUCAAAACUCUGAAUGAAUCGUGUCAUGAUGUCUAAGUCUAUGAUUAAAUUAAAGCAAAACUUUCAACAACGGAUCUCUUGGUUCUG